GUUGAUAUUCUUUUUUGGGAUUUAUGUGAAUGUGAAGUGAAGAGAGAGAGAGAGAGGAUUUAGGAUCAAAGGACAGAGAAAGAGAGACGGAUUCUACAAAGACUAACAUCAUCUUCACAAUAUUUUUCUGUUUUGGUAUUAUGAUGCAAUAAAUCAUCAAGCUUAUGUAUUUGAAACAUACAUGGGGAACUUCCGGGUGACUGGAAUCCUCUGGGGUCAGCUGAACAGGCUAACAAUCGGCAGAAGAUGCUGGGCAAGGCUGCUGGCCUGAAGAGUGAGGCUGAUCCGUAACAUCAACUGCAGAAGAAUGUGAGGUUCGAGUUGAUGAACAGGAGAAGGGAAUAAUUUAACGGGAUGAAGGAUAGCAGAAUAAGAAAGAAAAACAGAACUAAAGAAAGGAUUUGCCAAUCCUUUCCUUGCAGGUGAAGAGUACUCAGGAGGCUCAAAGACCGAUAGAGUUGAACAGACAGCUGACAGCUCGCGAUUGAGAGACUUUCCAGUUGACAGAGGAGCGA
rnacentral:lncRNA from 1 species